GCCUAUCACCAUUCCAGAUUGAAUAUACCCGAUCUCGUCUGAUCUCGGAAGUCAAGUAAUCUCGGGCUUGGUUAGUACUUGGAUGGGUGACCGCUUGGGAAUCACCAAGUGUGAUAAGCA
rfam:Ciona savignyi cont_63044, whole genome shotgun sequence.